rnacentral:lncRNA from 1 species
CCGGGCUCGGAAGAGAAGGGGUGGGGGAGGUGGGAGGCGGGGAAACCAGCGGAAUCUUCUGGCCUUUCGGAGCGUGCCCUCCUCCCGCCACGCACCGGAGAAAGCUUCGGUCAAUCAUGAGUACUACUGGGGAGUCAUGGGAGCAGGGGAGGCCAUGCUGAGAGCGUAACCCAGGAGCUCAGCAGGGCCUCUCAGAAGUGAGGACAGACUCUACCACCAUGGAGGACUGACCAGAAUGUGGGUAGCAUCUGCUAGUGGGGGACCAGAUUAAAUAGUGUGGAAGAAGGAAGACCACUUGCCCUUGUUGGCCUGGCCUGGCCUCUUGCUUGAAGCGUUGGACGAUGAUGAUGACGAUGACGACGAAGACGAUUCCUCCACUGAAAACAGAAGCAGCAGCCAUUUCAGGUUUCCAUCCUGGACCAAGGACCUUCAAGUCUCCAAGAACUUGCAGAUUUUUGGUGCAGGAUUGAUGACUACUGAGGCACCUCCAGGACCAGUCAGCUCCCGGAUUCCCAGCCUCGGUGUUGAGACUAUUUCAGAGUGAGCUGAUGACAUGCAUUCUCUAAUAUAUUUGGUAUAUAAAAUGUUUCAUAUUUAAUAUAGAAAAUGUGGGAUCCCAUCAAUUCUGUUCCUCCAGAAAAUUCCAGCUUACAGAGGACACAUGUGCACACCUGUGUGUGUGUGUCCUGUGGAGGUCAGAGGUCAGCCAUGGGCUUGUUCCUUGGAUGGCAUCCAUCUAUCUAGUUAUUUUAUUUUAUUUUAUUUUAUUUUAUUUUAUUUUAUUUUAUUUUAUUUUGAGCUAGCCUCUCUGAUUGACUGGGAACUCUCCAAGCAGGCUAGGCUGGCUGGCUAGUGAGCCCCAGAGAUCCACCUGCCUCUGCCGCCCCGCCCUGGGAAUAAAAACAUUCACUGCCCUGCCUGUUUUGUUGUUUGGUUGUUUUGUUUUGUUUUGUUUUGUUUUGUUUUAACGUGUAUUCUGGGGGUUGAACUCCGGUGCUUGCGUUUGUGAGGCAAGUGCUUUGCUGACAGCCCUGUCCCUAGGCCCACUUAUUCUGAAUUCCUCGUCCCCCCACAUCCCCCCAGAGCAUACUCCCUACCUCAUAGGCAGCAGCUGUUAUCUACUGAGUGGAUAGUAUGUUCUUGGGUUUUUUUUUUUCCUGUGUGAUUUUGAAAAACAAUUCAUAGCUUUUUGCUGUUGUU